GGAAGUUCCCCCUUUCUUGGUGUGCUGUGACGUGUAUCUUGAAAAAAAAAAAAAGCAUACAGUGAUGUCUUGUGGUUGAAACUUAACCAAACGAGAACAGGUCACUUGAUUAGAAAGAAAGGAAAUUAAACAUACAGAGGUACACACACAUAUGUCACAUGUCUAAAGCAUUAACAGCAUCAGUCUUUGGUUCUGGAGGAUAUUUGUUUAUUUUAAAAGUUGCAUGUUUCAAUAAACUGUUUCAUUUGGUGUAUUAAUUUAUCACAUAGAAACUCACAUAGAAAUUCAUCACAUAGAGUUGUAUCUUACUCGAUGCUUUGGAUAGUCCUUGACUAUAAAAUUCAUCUGAUCAAAAUAUUUUAAGAGUUCUUUUUUUUUCCCGCAGGAAGCAGUGCAAAGUAAACGAAUAAUUUUUGUUUAAUUAUUUUUGCACAUACCUGAUAGGAGGGAAAGUUGUAGAGGCUAUCUUCAUGUUUUCCCACUCCAAUUCUCAUCCCUUAUUUCCAUGGCAGGAAAUUUCCAUGUUAGUAUUUUCCAAGGUGUGUGCUAGACAUCGACUGGCAAUACAUAAGGUGCUUUUAAGGGGUAUAUGGCUUUUAAUAUUAUUUUCAUGUUGAGAAUAUAACUAGUAUAUCAAACUUUGAUUUUUGCAUAUUUUACAUAUUAGGAAAAAAAUAAAGUUUAAUUAAAACACAUCACAAAUAAAUAAAUGUUUAAUUGUAUACAAAUAUGACAUAAUUUGUAAACAUACUGAUACUAAGUUUGCAGUAUCAGAGGAAAAACUGCUCAAGGUAAAAUAAAAGUCUAUUUGGAUAGACCAAUGAUAUGUACUUCUUAGGUAAUGAUCUUUCACAUUUUGACAGUACCUCUGGAGAUAACAGUUUUAGCUUUAAUAGAGAUUAAAGUUUAAAAGAUAAACAAAACUAAAGGAACUAGAUGACUAAUCACAUAUAAGGAUAGAGAAGUUAGUAAAUAUAAGCUUUCCAGAGUUUAUAUAAUGAGUGUGGCUUAUUUCUUAAGAGUACCUUAAGCCUCUUUGGAUUUUACCCCUGAAAGGACAACACUUUGCUUUGAAAGGACAAAAGAGCCUUUACUUAAAGAAGCUUCUGAUGGUAUCACAUAACGCUGAUAAAAGAGAGGGGAGUAUUAACUUUUCUAUUCUGGUUCUAUCAUCAGGAUAAAGAAUAUUUGAAGAAAACACAUUUACAGUAUUAUAAAAUUCACUUAUACACAGUCAUUAACUUCACUAUAAUGAGCUCAUUAUAUCUUAUGUAAGAAGCAUCAUUUUAUGUUGGGAAGAAAACAUGAGGCAUUAAGAAAGAUAACUAGUGAGAUGAGCUGGCCACUUUGGAAGUGACCCGAAUGAAACCGGCGAAGCUCAAAGACUGAUGACAUAAAGGCAUUUGUUUGUAUACUUCCUGUGGUUCAGUCCAUACUUAAUUUCCUGUUAAAAUCUUCAACGUUGCUCAUGUUUGUUGAUCUAGUAUCCUCUCACUCCUCUAGAUAAUUGUGAGUAAAUUAUGUUAGAGUAAAAUGAUUUAAAAAUUAUUUUUGACAGUCCAGUAUUAUUAUCACCCAAAUAUACUGACAGUUUCCAAAGAACAAGAGCAGCAGCAAAAGUUAUGGGGCCAAGUAAGUUUGGGAAAUGUUGGGCUCCUGACUUGUUAAAGAACUAAAUCCUCUUUAGAUAGGGAAAAUAGGUUUUUGAAAUAAUGUUUUUUUGACACCAUGUUAAGAAACUCUGGUCUGAGAUCAAAAUAAGUUUUGCCUGUAGCAUAUUUAGGAACUGCUUUGAUGCUCCCAACAUUUUGCUACCCCUACCCCAAUACAGAUUUUGAAGCGCAAGCAUUUACAAGUGCAUGCUUCCACACUUGAAUAGAAAUAUAAACUCUUGAAAGAGGGAGUCCUUUCAAAAUUCCUGUAUGACAAUUGGCUGAUAAGGUCACCUUAGUCAUGCAGUAAUGCAGCUGCUUUCUCAGAGGCUGUUUGCUAAUCCAUGCAAAGUCUGUAUGUUCCAGAACAAGGCAAAUUUGGUCAAGUUGUAUCAACAAGCUCUGACGAGCUCAUGGCAAGGCGUUGAAAGUUCCCUAUUAAUUUUAAAGAGAGUGCCACUAUCUGGCCCCUGUUUGUAAAAUUCACUAAGAAAAGAUAAACUGUCAAAUCGUAACUUUAUUGAAUCAAUGACUUUGGUUGAAAUAGUAGAGGAUGUCAAAAACGUCAGUAGAAGAAACAGUGGGUCUCACAAACAAUCUGGGUUUCAGUUUUCCCUCUUUGAAACUGUGCUAAAACGUCUAGGUUGGAGUUUCUAGGAAAAAGAAUACUUCAUGUAGUCUUAGUGUUAUCUUUUUUUAAAAAAAUAAAAAUUAAUAGACUUCAUUUUUAGGGAAGUUUUAGAUUUACGGUAAAAUUGAGUGGAAAGUACAGAGUUCCCACAUACUCCCCACCUUUCACCUUGCCUCCAGCUCCACCACCAGCACCAUCCCUCAUUAGUGGGAAAUAUUUGUUACAACUGAUGAACCUACAGCGACACAGCAUUAUCAUCUAAAAUCUAUAGGUUACAUUAGAGUUCACUCUUGAUGCUGUACAUUCCAUGAGUUUGACAAAUGUAUCAUGAUAUUGUAUCCAUCAUUAUAGUACCAUAUAAAAUACUUUUCCUUCCCUAAAAAUCCCAGUACUAUAUUUUAAAAUACCUAGGAGAUUGGUUCAGUAAGAUAUUUCAGAUUAUGGCUAUUGAUAUUGAUAGGAAAAAUAAGGAAAAUUUUAAUCUUUGCUGAACUGAUUUGAAUUGAAACAUUUGGUUUCAAUUACUCCAAUUACUGGAAUACUAAUAGGGAAUGCUUUGCUUAAGCCUGAUGUUUUUCGAACUUUUAAAAUGUUGCUAAAAUCUUGUUGUGGAUAUUAGAAUUGCGAGACAAGGGGUAAUGAUGAAUAUAAUAUUCUACUUUAAAAUAAAAAUGUAUUUAUACUGGAAAAGUCAGUGACGUGGAAAGAUAGCUUGAUCCAUUGAAACAAAAUGUUUUGAUUCAGCAAACUUUAAUUGCAUCCCUACAGUGUAUCACACAUAAGGUACUGCAGAUACAAAGAUGAAUGAAUCUCUGUCUUAAGGGGUCCACUGUGUAGUAGGGCUGACAAAUAUUUGUGAAAGGUGCCAUCAGAGAGGAAUGUACAGAGGAAAGAACACAGAGGAGUAAUUAGCUCUGGAAGUAUGGGAAGGGAAGUCAAGUACUGCUGUCUUUACUAUAAAAUCAACAUGUAUCUAUUCUUUGCUUGUUUCUGCAUUUAUAUUUAGUAUCCCUUGGAAAGUUCAAAUGGCUGCAAUGGAGAAACUGGUCUCUAGCAAGAGACCAGUUUUAUGUUGAAGGAUCAUGGAAAAAUGGAUCCCAUAUGUACUCACAAAGCUUUGCAAACGUUCACAAGGACACUGAAUGACUUUGUUGAAUUAGCAUAACCACUCAGAGCUUUAUGUCUUCAAGAUUUAUAGAUGCAAUGGAAGAUCAGAAAGUAUACAUUUAUGAACUGUCAUAAACUGAAGAUCGGACUUGUGUAGAUAUGGUUUUGAUUGUUGCCCAGGCUGAUCUUGAACUCCUGGCCAUAAGUGAUCCUCCUGCUUCCUUCAUCUCCCGAAGUUCUGGGACUACAGGCAUGAGCAACCACACCAAGGUAGGACUAGUCUAGAUUCUAGUACAACAUCAACCCAUGUACCCCACAAAGGCUCUGCUGAUAUCUAUUUUCCCUUGUAGAGUUUCAUCUGCAUAGUCUAAAACCCCACUCUCUGCCUAUGCCUGAAUGUGGCUAAUGUUUCCAGAAAAGAAAAUGUCAGUGAUCUAAGCCCACCUAUGAAGGGAUCUUCCCUUUUUGAAUUUUAAUUCAGCUAAUUUGCUUUGCUUUUCUAGCUGUCUGAUGUCCUCAACAAUAUGACAUUUUGGUAAUUACUUUGUUUUAAUUUUCCAAGUCCUACCACUUCCUCUUAUAUCCUUACCAGAGACAGUAUUCUGAACUCAUAGAUUUAGUGAAAGUUUGGAUAUAUUCUGGGAUUCUAAACUGAAGUGAUUUUCUCUUGAGCCCCUGGAAGAAGAAUAUGCAGGCAGCACUCUGUUGUAGCUCUGACAGGCAAUAGUGCCUUUACAAUUAUACUGUUAUUUUGAAAAAAGCACUGCUUACUGUUUUCAUAUUACUUGCAGUGUUUUUUAAAAAAUGUGGAAACAAUACAGUCAUGCUUAAAUAGAACAAAUUUAAAAAAGAAGGCAAGCAAAGAUUAUAGAAAAGUCAGCCCAAGUGUCAUGUUGAGCUUACCUUUCCGUCCACAUGCUAAGGACCCAAGUCACAAGUGUCUGGCUAUUACAAUUCACUUUUUUCUUAUACGCCCCUACCAGGUCCAGAGAAAAUGGAUCAUAUUGAGCAGUCUGACUAGGAAGAUGAUAGAACUUCAUCUUUAGAGCAAUCUUAUGAGGUAUACACAAUUACUCAUAUCUUAGAUAAGGAAAUGGAGGCUCCAAGGGAUAAAGAAACUUACUUAAGAUCAUAUAGCAAAUACACGGUGGUUAAUAGAGAACAGAGAAUUUUCCUCACCCAUGCUCAGGCUCUGUCUGCUUUUGUUUCUCUGAGCCGCAGUAUAGCCCUGUCUUGAGAAACUGUCUUUCUUCCCUUUGCUAGUGGUCUAAUCCAUUGUGUCUGCUCCUAGCUCUGACUUCAUCCUCCCAACUCUCUGAAGGCCUGGUUGUGCCUUCCCUCCUGCAAGGCCUUAUUGGAGGAAAAAGUCUCCAUUUCCCUUAGUUCCACUUUCAUUUUGUACCCUUUUCCCCUUUAAAGGAAAACAAAACAAGCAAGUAGAAAAAAAUCACCAUUAACAUUUCAAGAAUAAAAGAAACCAAAAUCUCCUAUCUAAAGCAUUUUUUUUUCAUUUUUGUUGUGCGUGAUAGGACAUUUUAUAUUCCAGUGGUUAAGAUUUAUCUUUUAAUCUGUACAGUUUUAGGUUUUCAUAUCUUGUGGCUCUGCCUCUAAUUUUCUUUUUGAUUAUGACAAAUGGGACACAUAGAUACACGCAUGCUCUAUUCUCUCUUUUGGAGUUUUGCCACCUCAAGUCAUUCAAAACAGAAAGAUGGAUAUCUCUAAUAGGAACUAUAUUGAUUAGAGUGCUAUGAUAUCCUGGGUUUGUAAUGUAAUAAAAAAUGAGCCUUGAUUCACUCUAUAAAAUAGGGAAAAUAUUACCUGACCCUUUUUUUCCCUCAGUGAUAAAAUUAGGAGAAAUGGUAUCUGUGUGGAAUUCAACUUUUAAGAGGAACAUUUUAUGAAAAUAGCCUAAGUUGCUAGAAUGUGCUAUUUAUGCAUAUGCUUAUUAAAUAUAUAUUUAUACAAUAUUUAUAUAUAUUAUUUAUGUUUCAGCUUCUUUUAAAAAAUAAAACCAAAACUUUCCAGAGUUAGAUAUACUAGUGCUUGUACAUUAGUUCCGUUCUUCCUCCAACUGUGCAAAAACUCUUCAUACUGCUUUAUAUUGAAGACGAUAAAGAGAAAUGAUGUCCUGUGGGUUGACCAGAAGCCAACUCAGAGAAAGAGAUUUGUGUGCAGUAAGUUUCUUGGGCAUGCAUUUUGGGUUCAAUACCUGUGGGGGACGAAGGUCAGUGAAAUAGGGCAGAGAGAGAGAUUGGGCUGAGCUGCAGUCACAACGAAGGCCUCAGUCACUCCUGUGGUCAUCAUCAUACCUAGGCCUGCCCUUCAGACUUUAUCCACCUCGAAUCAAGGGGAUUGAGCCUUUAAAUCAUGUGCUGACUGGUUAUGGGAUGCAAGCUGCCCCAACAAAGGUGCUGGGACCUUAGGAGAGGUAGGUCCCUUCAGCUGUGCUUAGCUAAGAGGUGUUGGUUGGCAACACUUUCAGCAACCAGGGAAUGAAUGCUGCAGUCCUGAAGUGGGGGAAUCUGGGUGGCACAGCAGAGCAAUCACUACGAUUAAGACAUUAAUCAACAGUGCAGAUUAUAUUCUUCAUUAUGUUUAUAUUUAUAUCUAUUA